UCCCUCUUAGAUAAUGGAUCUGCCUUCCAAGUGACCGGUCCCCUUAAGCUGGCAGGCCACUAGCCCAACCUCUGGCCUCAGAGUUUGGUUUCAGCUCUCAUUGGCACUAGGGGGGACACGGAGCUGGAACAGCUCUUCGCCAGCCCCGGGAGGAGGACCUGGUGUUGUGAAGAAGACAGACAUGAGAAUAACUGCAGUGUGGCGUGCCCAGGUUAUGAACCACAUCUGAACAGGGAUGGUGAUGCCGGUGACGGUGAUACUAACAAACAGACCAUACUGGGAUUGUUUCCUAUUUGGCUAGUGAGGAGAUCAUAGUAUCCCAGGGCAUGUGUCCUGGUGCAAUGAAUCUCAGGCACUGGGGUUUGAAGCAGGGUUGGUGUUCAUGGAAAUGGUGACUGGGAGGGGGACCUUGCUGGUGUCUGUUAUGCAGUGCUUAUGGUGCACUGCCAUUUCCAUCUUCACCAAGGAAUUGAUCUUUAUAUGGAUAUAGAGAAUAACUCUGAAGGGACAAAUAACAUUCUGGUGUUGCCUCUGGGGAGAGGAAGUAGAAUAUUUAGGGUCAAGAUGGU
rnacentral:lncRNA from 1 species